CCUACGGGAGUCAGCAGUGGGGAAUAUUGGUCCAUGGGCGCAAGCCUGACCCAGCAACGCCGCGUGAAGGAAGAAGGCCCUCGGGUUGUAAACUUCUUUUUUCAGGGACGAAACAAGUGACGGUACCUGACGAAUAAGCCACGGCUAAAUACGUGCCAGCAGCCGCGGUAAUACGUCGGUGGCAAUGGUUAUUCGGAUUUACUGGGUGUAAAGGUUGUGUAUGCGGGACUGCAAGUCAGAUGUGAAAUUCCAAGGCUCAACCCUGGAACUGCAUUUGAAACUGUAGUUCGUUAGUGAUGGAGAGGCAGGCGGAAUUCCGUGGGUAGCGGUGAAAUGCGUAGAUAGAAGGAGGAACACCAGUGGCGAAGGCGGCCUGCUGGACAUUAAAUGACGCGGAGGCGCGAAAGCGGGGGGAGCAAACAGGAUUAGAUACCCCUGUAGUC
rnacentral:rRNA from 1 species